AUGGCCGCGUCGGGAGGCUCGUCCGGCGGGUGCACAUGGCCGGACCUCCAGCCGGAGAUGUUGGGCGUCGUGCUCUCGCGGCUGCCGUCGCACGGCGACCGCGUCCGCUUCGCCGCAGUCUGCCGCCCAUGGCGCUCCAGCGCGCGGCUGCUGCGUCCGCUACCCCCGCUGCUCCCGUGGCUCGCCCUCUGCGACGGCACCUUCCUCAGCCUCCCCGACGGCGCCGACGACUUUGAUCCUUAUGAGACUGACGCGUACGGGCAGCGGCACUACCUCGUCGUCUCCGGCGAUCGGCUGCUGAUGGUGCAACGAUGGAUCAACCUGCCGCCAAUAUUUCCAAUCGACUCGGGGAUCGAGAAGCGGACUCGACUCUUCAAGGUCUUCCAAGCAACGGGCCUGAGCAGCGGCUGCGGACAAUGGACCGAGGUCGAUAGGUUGACAGGGUGCGCGCUCUUUGUCAGCGAAGGCUGCUCGGAGUCUCUCCCAGCCGGGGGUCAAUCUAGCGGCGUCGGAGUUCGAGAAGACUGCAUCUACUUCAUGAACGGCGACACUUGUGAGAAUCCCUUUCCAGACUCCGGCGUGUACAACAUGAGAGACCAGACAGUGGCGCCGUUGCUGCCGGCGACGGUGGCGGUGCCCGCAGCCGGCUACGGUCCAUGGUCUCCAACUUGGCUUUUCCCAGAGACUUGA
rnacentral:rRNA from 1 species